rnacentral:rRNA from 1 species
CCCUUAGAUGUUCUGGGCUGCACGCGCGCUACACUGAUGCACUCAACGAGUUUACGAGCUUGUCCGAGAGGAUUGGCUAAUCUUUUUAAAAUGCAUCGUGAUGGGGAUAGAUUAUUGCAAUUAUUAAUCUUCAACGAGGAAUUCCUAGUAAACGCAAGUCAUCAGCUUGCAUUGAUUACGUCCCUGCCCUUUGUACACACCGCCCGUCGCACCUACCGAUUGAAUGGUCCGGUGAAAUCUCGGGACGGCGGCUUGGUCGCUUGCGUCCGACUGCUGAAACUUGAUUAAACCAUAUCAUUUAGAGGAAGGUGAANUCGUANCA